ensembl:miRNA
GUUGUUGUAAACAUCCCCGACUGGAAGCUGUAAGACAUAGCUAAGCUUUCAGUCAGAUGUUUGCUGCUAC